rnacentral:rRNA from 1 species
UACGUAGGGGGCAAGCAUUAUCCGGAUUUACUGGGUGUAAAGGGGGCGCAGACGGCGAUGCAAGCCAGGAGUGAAAGCCCGGGGCCCAACCCCGGGACUGCUCUUGGAACUGCGUGGCUGGAGUGCAGGAGGGGCAGGCGGAAUUCCUGGUGUAGCGGUGAAAAGCGUAGAUAUCAGGAGGAACACCGGUGGCGAAGGCGGCCUGCUGGACUGCAACUGACGUUGAGGCCCGAAAGCGUGGGGAGCAAACAGG